rnacentral:rRNA from 1 species
UACGUAGGGACCAAGCGUUGUUCGGAUUUACUGGGCGUAAAGGGCGCGUAGGCGGCAAUUCAAGUCAUCUGUGAAAUCUCCGGGCUUAACCCGGAACGGUCAGGUGAUACUGUUUUGCUAGAGUGCGGAAGGGGCAAUCGGAAUUCUCGGUGUAGCGGUGAAAUGCGUAGAUAUCGGGAGGAACACCAGUGGCGAAGGCGGCGAUCUGGGAAGAUACUGACGCUGAGGUGCGAAAGCGUGGGGAGCAAACAGGG